AGAGUUUGAUCCUGGCUCAGGACGAACGCUGGCGGCGUGCCUAACACAUGCAAGUCACGGGGGCUCGCAAGAGCAACCGGCGAACGGGUGCGUAACACGUGAGCAAUCUGCCGAUUUCUGGGGGAUAGCCGGCCCAACGGCCGGGUAAUACCGCAUACGCUUCUUUGGGGGAGUCCCCAGGGAAGGAAACCUCCGGGGGAAAUCGAGGAGCUCGCGGCCUAUCAGCUAGUUGGUGCGGGUAAUGGCCCACCAAGGCGACGACGGGUAGCUGGUCUGAGAGGAUGGCCAGCCACAUUGGGACUGAGAGACGGCCCAGACUCCUACGGGAGGCAGCAGUGGGGAAUCUUGCGCAAUGGCCGAAAGGCUGACGCAGCGACGCCGCGUGGGGGAUGAAGGUUUUCGGAUCGUAAACCCCUGUUGCCCGGGACGAAUCCUGGAUUUCGAUCCAGUUGACGGUACCGGGUGAGGAAGCACCGGCUAACUCCGUGCCAGCAGCCGCG
rnacentral:rRNA from 1 species